CUCAAGUCCAAGUGGACCAAAGACAUCAACAUAAAACCAGAUACACUGAACCCAAUAGAAGAGAAAGUGGGGAAGAGCCUUGAGCUCAUUGGCACAGGAGACAGCUUCCUGAACAGAACACCAACAGCACAGGCACUGAGAACAACGAUCAAUAAAUGGGACCUCAUGAAACUGAGAAGCUUCUGUAAGGCAGAGACACAAGAAGGCAGCCCACAGAAUAGGGGAAGAUUUUCACCAACCCUACAUCAGACAGAGGGCCAGUAUCCAAAAUAUAUAAAGAACUCAAGAAACUAGACAUAAUAAACCAAAUAAUCCAAUUAAAAAUGGAGUACAGCUCUAAACAGAGAAUUCUCAACAGAGGAAUCUCAAAUGACUGAGAAACAAAACAAUGUUCAACAUCCUUAGCCAUCAGGGGACUGCAAAUCAAAACUACGUUGAGAUUCCAUCUUACACCUGUCAGAAUGGCUAAGAUCAAAAACACAAGUGACGUUUCAUACAGGCAAGGAUGUGGAGCAAGAGGAACACUCCUUCCAUCGCUGGUGGGAAUGCAAACUAGGCAUUAUGGAAAUCAAUGUGGUGGUUCCUCAGAAAACGGGGAAUUGAUUUGCCCUAAGACCCAGCUGUACAACUCUUGAGCAUAUACUCAGAGGACUCGCCAUCGUACUCUAAGGACACUUGCUCAACCAUGUUCACACAUACUUUAGUCAUAAUAGCCAGAAACUGGAAACAACCUAGAUAUCCCUCAACAUAAAAAUGGUUAAAGAAAUUGUAGUACAUUUAUACAAUGGAGUGCUAUUCAGCUGUUAAAAAAAAUAACAUCAUGAAAUUUGCAGGCAAAUUGAUAGAACUAGAAAAAAAAAUCAUCCUGGGUGAAAUAACUCAGACUCAGAAAGACAAACAUGGUAUGUACUCACUUAUAAGUGGACAUUAACUGUUAAGUAGAGGACGAUCAUGCUACCAUCCAUGGGCCCAGAGAGGCUAAGUCACAAGGAGGACUCAGGGUGUCGGAGGAAUGCAUGGAUUUCCCUGGGAAGGGGAAAUAGAAAAGAUUUUGUGGGUAAACUAGGGGUAGGUGGGGAUGGGAACAGGGGGAUCUGCUGGGGGACAGGAGAAAGUACUGGGAGAAUUGACUGGGAUUGAGGGUUAUUUGGAGGGGAGAAAUGUAGAAACCUAGUGUAGUGGAAACCCCCUAGAAUCUACAAGUGUGACCUUAGAGAAGUCUCCUAGAAAUGGGGAUACAGAGCCCGAACUGGUCAUCUUCUUUAACCAGGCAAGGCUCCCAGCAGUGAGCCUGGGACAUCAACCCAGCCACAAAACCUUCAACCUAUAGUCUGUCUUGCCUGCAAGACGUGCUGGGACAGUGGUGGCACAGAACUUGUGGGAGUGGACUAGUCCAACUUGAGGCCCAUGCCACAAGAGGGAGCCCAUGCCUAACAUGGCCUGGAUGGCCAGGAACCAGAGGCAGGACAGCCCAGAGACCCAGGAUAGAACCAAAUAGGGCUGGGGGUGAAGCGGGGGGAGUCAUUGAAAUGAUUCCUAAGGAUAUUCUGCUAUACUCAUAGAUCGGUGCCUAGCCCAGUUGUCAUCAGAGGGGCAUCAUCCAGAAACUGAUGGGAGCAGAUGCAGAGACCUACAGCCAAACACUAGGUGAAGCAAGGGGAACCCUGCAGAAUAGGGAGAGGAAGGAUUGAACCAGAGGGGUAGAGGACACCAGGAGAACAAGGCCCACAGGAUCUACUAAGCAGGAUUCAUAGGGGCUCACAGAAACUGAAGUGACAAGCAUGGACCCUGUUUGGGUCUGAGCUAGGUCCUCUGCAUAUACCUUAUGGGUGUGUAGCCUGGUGUUCUUGCGGGACUCCCAACAAUGAAAGUCGGGGAUGUCUCUGACUCCUUUGCCUGUGCUUGGGAUCCUUUUCCUCCUACUGGGUUGCCAUGUCCAGCCGUGAUGUGAAGGUUUGUGCCCAGUCUUAUUGUAACUUGUUAUGUUGUGUCCUGUGGAUAUCCCUGGGAGGGCUGCCCCUCCACCACGGGAAACAAAAGGAACUGAUCUAGGGAGUUGGGAAGUGGGGGAGGGACUGGGAAGAGCAGAGGGAGGAGAAACUCUGGUGGGGAUGUCAUGUAUGAGAGAAGAAUAACAGUUAAAAAAAGAGAGACAUGGGAAUGCAUUUUUCAAGGAGUUUAUUGUCUUCUAGAAAGGAGAAAAACCUAUGUAUGAAGUAAAUUGAGAGCACACUAAGGAAGGGUAACAUACCUUCUAACUUGUAAAUGUGCUGUGCUGUAUCCACUAAGUACCUCUCGGCCCUCAUCCUGAUUCUCACAAUAAAGCUGAUGUUAUUUAGUUGUUGCUAUUAUUAUUAUUAUUAUUGGGCUGUGCUCCGAAGGUGGAGAAAAAUUAGCACAUAAGUAGUUAAGUAGUGACUUCCUGUGGUAGCAAGCGAUGGGUGGGUCAAUCGGGUAAUAGCCAGGUCUCUCAGGAUCUGCCUCACUUUUCAUUGCAGGUUACCAGGCUGCUUCUCUCCUCAGUGAUGCACAGAAACACAGUGGUGUGUGUCAAAGAGCCUUGUGAGGAAAGACAGUCCAGGAGGGAGGCGGGGAGUGAUUUAAGCAUCAGUCAAAUUCUCCUCUCAUCCUCUUGAAUAAAUGUAUCAACAUGUCAAGCUGUGUGUAGAUAACUCUUAAAAUUGUACUUAUGGCACUAUAUUUACAGUUUUAUUUCAGAGAAUAAAUACAUUCAUGUCCAUGCUCUUCCACAGAUAAACUUAAAACAAAAUUUAAGAGUAGGCAAAGAGCUUAGAGAACGUCUCCACUCAUUGGAGCUGGAGUUCGUGUGGGCAGAGUGGACUCGGGCAUAGAAUUGACUUCAACAAGUAUGUCCUUUAUCUAUUUGCUAUUGCUCACAAUCAUACUGUAAUUCUACUUCCUAGCCUUGAAGUUAGGACUCAGUUUUGUCUGACAAAUACUUUUGUAGGUCUCUCCUGGAUAAGACACAAUACUACAUAUGACAUUUUGGAGAGCAGGUCUACAUAUUUUCUGAUUAGUCUUCACAUUUAAUCAGUUGGAUGUAAGAGGCCUCAAAUGCUCACCCUUAGUGGCUGCACUUACUCUGUGGAGACCAGCACUGGUUGGCAGUAGCAUGUGUUGAGAAUUCAGAGGAGCUGUAUAAGAGCCUGAGUUCCAGCAGACUCCCAGGUCAUUUCUCAGGAUGGGCUAGAAUAUGAUAUGGUAGCGGUAGCAAAUGACUUUGUUUAACAAAUACUUUGCUCUCAUUACAUGUCCCCACGUAAUGUGCAUAAGCUCACAUUGCACAUUGGCCGGGAACCCACUGCUGAUAGAACCUCCUCCUUCUGGAAUGCACCAGUUCCAGUGACAGGAAGAAGAAAAUACUGACCUGUCACAAACUACAGUUUAAUUCCUCUAUAUUCUUUCAUUGGCCAAAGCAAGUUCAGUGGUUGGCCAUGAUCAACUAAAGGGAGGGGAAAUUGUACCAUGUUCCAGGACUGGGAGAAGAGACCUGUAGAUAUGGAUUAGAAGAGGAGAGAUAGCAGCGAGGUGUAUUUAAUAACUGACGGGCUGUGGAAACCGGAGGGGGGUUGCUAUGGGGGAAGUAAUGAGAGAACACUGUAAGGGGAAAAGGCACUAAAAUCCGCUCAAGUGGAAAACUGCUCUGGGCAAAUGCAGAGGAGAGGCAAGUUAGGGCAACAACCUCCUGGACUCCGCUGCUCAGGUUCUGUCCCUUAUGUGUUAGGAGCCUGGGUUCCAUGUGGUUCCAUGAGGUUCCAUACUGUUUAUUAGCCUGAGCUUUUGCUUCCUAAGAAUGAAGAAAGCGCCGGGCGGUGGUGGCGCACGCCUUUAAUCCCAGCACUCGGGAGGCAGAGCCAGGCGGAUCUCUGUGAGUUCAAGGCCAGCCUGGGCUACAGGGUGAGUUCCAGGACAGGUGCAAAGCUACACAGAGAAACCCUGUCUUGAAAAACCAAAAAAAAAAAGAAUGAAGAAAGCAAGCCCCAGGCCUACAUUGCAGGAGACCUAGGUGAUCCCCGAGAGACUUUCUGCAGGAAGCUGGUUACUAGUGAGUGCAUGGAUGGGCUGGAUCCCUGAGGAACCUAGUGGCUUCUCUUCCAGGAUGAAUAAUCAUCUGUGUGGGACUGUGAACCUGGAGUAUUUGUAGAGACCCAGGGAGACUUGGGGACCCAUUGGCAUGGGAUGGGAAGAAACUUGGGGGUAGACAUCACUCCUUGGGGGUUCUCAUCAGCCACAUUGGCAUCAGCCAGUGAAAGGGAACAAGGUCCUCGAUCGAGCGCCCUCUCCCUGUAAGUCACCCUGACUCCUCCCAAUCCCCCGACAACAAGGGCUUCCAGAUCUGGGUCUCGCUCAGUCAUUUCUUUUGGGCCCCAAGGAAACACUUGGCUUUGUUUCUUAUUUCCAUGGUCAUGUGAGGAACUCUGCGGCCAUUUGGCCCCUUCUCCAUCUAGAUAAUUUUAGCGGAUGUGUGCUCUCCACUGGCACCACAACUCACAGGCAAAGAGCCUAGGGAGCCUUGUCUGUGGAGGUGGUGCCCAGCCUGGAGGAAAUAGCAGGAGGUAUGCACCGGGGCCAUGCUGGCCACAGAGUUCUUUCAUAUUUCCUCAUUUCCCUGCGUGUCUAUUGUCUCUCUUCUGGACCAGGAACUCGACAGACCAGGUCAGGGUGGAGAGACAGAGCAGUGUCCGCUCAGCGGCCCAUUCGAGGCUCUCCUCUGUUUUUCUUCUCCCUUCCAGUCUCUUUUUUCUCCCUUCUUUCCAAUUACCUUAGGAGAGGGAAAGGAAAAUUGACUUUGGCUAGUUUGGCUCUAUUUUCUUUCCAAACAUAAUGUUUUUGCCAAGAUUUCAGAUUUUGAAAAUCAAAAGCCAAGAAUUUACAUCUUUUGUUCCAUAGCAUAAUCCACCCGUAAGGCAGUAUGCCAAAAAAAAAAAAUGCUUCACAGAAGGGUCACAGGUAACAAGAAUCACCGAGCAGGGAAAACAUCAUUUAAUACCUCAAAAUAUUAACCUGCUGUGUUUGCAGACAGAAGGUGUUAAUUACCACUGACAUGCAUAUUUAUUUUUACAAGAAACUUUUGAUCUUGAGAAUAUACAUUCUCUCUUAUUUAACAUGUGAUGUUCUACCUGAUGGUACUUAACACAGAGUAAGCACUCAGACAUGUUAUUUUUUUUUUUUUCCGCUAACAAGAGUUUUAUUAAAGGUAAAGGGACAGAGAGUGAACAGGCCUGCAGGAAACACGUGUGUGGAGAAGAAGGAGGAAGAAGAAGAAGAAGGAACCGGGAACAUGGCACCGGAUUUUAAAGGCUGGGCGUGGACAGACAUGUUAUUUUAUUGCAUCCAAAUAUCCACAACUUGACUACUUCUCACCCAGUUCCAUCCCUGCUCUUCAAAGGAUAGAGCAAGGACCUGUCUGGUCUUUCCACUUUGCAUAAAGAAAAAAAAAUGGAGCCCCAUGUUCCUUGAGCCAUGAGCAAAAGAGAGCAUACCCCAAGCUGUUCUCCUUUGUAAACAUGCUUUUUGCUGUGAGAUCCCAUGCCUAGUAGUUCUGAGAAAUGAAAAAAAUAUAUAUAUAUAAAAUACAUGUGCCUGCUAAACUCACUAUUUGAUUACAUAUCCCUUCUUACGAUGAAACUUGUAUUUAUCCAACAAUUUGGAUUGUGUGAAGACAUGAGGCUGAUACUAAAUUUAGAAAUUCCUUAGGAAUGGUAAUAUCUCCUGCAUAAUUAAUAAUUAUGAUGGGGGACUUUUGUUGACCACAGAUGUGGAUGCUAAGGGUUUGAAAACUGUGUGAAAAAUUGCUCAUCUUUUCUCCCAUGUCAAGUAAGUCUGUUGGGUAGUUUGGCUCUUGUAACUAUAAUUACAUAGGUUUGCUUUUCGUAGGUAAUAGACUCUCAGUCAUUUAUAUACAAAUGAAUAUUAUUCAUCCUUGUCCUUGAUAGCAGACUUCUAUAAACUGAAGGGGUAGGCGCAGAUGUGAUUUGAGAUGUCUUAUAGUCAUGAAUGUGGUAAACUAUGGCUGAAGGGUCUUGCAACACACCUCUUCUAUCCAUCAUUUUUCUGUUACCUCGUUCUAUCUGCACUCAUGUUGUUGUUGUUUUUUUUUUAAUCCUUCUAAAUUUCUAUGGAGGUCAUGCUUCUUUGAAGCUCUAAAGCCAAGGAAGCUUGAAAGGUAAUUUUGGUUUCAGGCCAUCCACCAGGCUGGGCAGUUAGAUAAUGUUCCUGAGCCUCAGUUUCUCAUCUGUAAAAGGAAGGACAUACCAUACCUUUCCAGAGUGGUGUUUCUUCACAUAAUGAAAUGGUUGCUGAGGAGAAAGACUGAUAUAUAAUAAAUGUUCAUGUUCCCUUCCCUUGCGAUCUCCAGGGACUUCCUGAUCACAUAUAAAGUGCCACUUUCAGAGGGAAUACACAACUGACUGCAAGCCAGCUCCUCCAAAGAAAGGAAUCUAGCUGUGAAGUAGGGUAGGGCAACAGCUGUGUUACUGUGACUUGAGAGUGGAUAAUUAGAAUGGAUGUGUGUUUGCAACACGAAUCUUAGAAGGUCUUAUUAAUUAAACAAACAAACAAAAACAAAGCCCUCGAAGCCAGGUAUUGGGGUUAAAGCUGAAAGAUCAGAGAGAUGGAACAAGCCACAGCCAACCUCACCUCGUCAACUUUUCAGCUGAUCCUGUUUCCUCAGACUGGAAGCCUCUGAGUCCUCACCUGGAAGGGAUCUCAGCUGAACUUCUUAAAAGUCUUCUAGGAAAUCCUCAGCCCAAGAGCCUCUGAGUCCUCUCCCAAAAGAUUCUUAGUUAAAUUGCUUAAAAGCCUCUAGUUCCUGGUCCUCAUGCCUUAUAUACCUUUCUGCUUCCUGCCAUCACUUCCUGGGAUUAAAGGCAUGUGUCACCAUGCCUGGCUGUUUCCAGUGUGGCCUUGAACUCUCUGUCUCCCGAGUGAUAAGAUUAAGGGUGUGUGCCACCACUGUCUGGCCUCUACAUCUAAUCUAGUGGCUGGCUCUCUCCUCUGAUCCCCAGAUAAGUUUAUUAGGGUGUACAAUAUAUUGGGGAACAGCUGGGCAGUGGUGGCACAUGCCUUUAAUCUCAGCACUCGGGAGGCAGAGGCAGGCAGAUCUGUGUAGUUUCCAGGCCAACCUGGUCUACAGAGGGAGUUCCAGGAAAGGCUCCAAAGCUACACAGAGAAACCCUGUCUCAAAAAACCAAUACACAAUAUAUAUAUCACCAUGUGUUCAUUGUGCAUUGAGAGGGCCACGAUGAAGAAGCUAAUGUCAUUCAUGCUGCGUCAUUCCAUGGUAGAAGGCACAGGGACAAGAGAGACCAAGAAGUAUCCAAAUAUCCUUUCCCAGUAGCAUCCAUUAUAGCCACAAAUAUUGCUGUUUCUUCAAGGUCUUACCUCCCAAGACCCUCCUCACGUAGGCAUGAAUUUCCGCCUGGACUUUGAUUGGACAAAACAGACCACAGCAAAGGUACAUAAAGAGAUAGAAAAUGGACCCCAACACAUUGCUCCAAGAAGGUUUUUCUCAAGUCUGACUUUGUGGCUGUUAUUGCUGCUGCCGUCACGCGUUGCUGACAGCGACACAAACAGCGUGGUCUCAUAGUGGGGAAGCUUGGGAAUUCAGCUAAUGGCACGAGAGCCGGCCAAACGCCAGCCAGGAAAGUGGGUGUGCGCAUGAUGUCAGAGACAUUGUCCAUGUAGGAAGACUGUCCGGGCAAUUUGUUAGGAUUAAAACCACCUGGGCUUAAGUAGGCCAGCCUAGCACCAAAGCACAUUGAUAACACCUUUCCCAGUGAGAAGGUGGAGUGUUCAAGUCCUGGGACCUGGCCUGGUGCCUUCUGCACUCGACGGGAUUUGAGCCUUUUCCUGAAGAAAUAGCUAGUGUUUUUUGUUUGUUUGUUUGUUUGUUUUUUAAUGAAUACUAGCAAGUUGUAUUUGUAUGCUCUAAUACAGAGAUUGAGAGACUUUGCUGUUUCCCACUGUGUCCUCAGAACUUAGUGCCUAACCCACAGCAGCUGUUACAUAAACAUUUCUGAAAGGAAAUUUUAGAAAAUGAUUAUAUAAAACAAUGUCAGAUUGUUUUAAAAAAAAAGUGGUGUGAUAGGGAAUUUUGAUGGCUAUUCUUGGUUGUCAACAUGACUAUAUCUAGAAUUAAUAAAACCCCCAAAUUGAAGGGUAAACCUGAGAGGGAUUUUUUGCUUAAUUUGAAGUGGGAGGAUCCACUUCGAAUCUGUAUCUUGGAGGUGGGAAGACCCACCUCGAGUCUGGGCCACACCUCCUACUGGAAGCCUGCAUAAGGACAUGGAAGAAGGAAGCUUUUGCUCUUUGCCAGCUUGCUCUCACCUCUCUAGCAAGUCCAUUUCUUCACUGACACUAGAACCUACUUCUUUGGGAUUCCAGUAUAUGCUGAAGACCAGUGUAGACAUCCAGCCUCAUCGGAAACUAUUAGGUUCUUGGACCUUUUGUUCAUAAACAGCACUACGGGAUUAGGCCAAUGAAGAUGUCGGCUGUUAUCAUCUGUCGACCCAACUGGAGCAGGAGAAUCCACUUCCAAGAUGGCUCCCUUGCAGGGCUGCUGGCCGCUCAGUUCUUUGCCAUGUGGGCCCUUUCAUGGGGCAGUUUGAGUCUACAUCACUCAGGGAGAGAGUAAGGAGGGGAUUUAUUGGAGUGGCUUACAGGCUGUGGUUCAGCUAGUCCAACCAUGAUUGUUUACCAACAGAAGGUCCAAGAAUCCAGGAGUUGUCCAAUCCAUGAGGGCGGAUGCCUCAGCUGGCCUUCAGCAUACUCCAGAAUCCCAAAGAAGUAGGUUCCUUCUUCCAUGUUCUGUGUAUAGACUGCCAGCAGAAGGUGUGGUCCAGAUGAAGGUGAUCUUCUCAUCUCAAAAGAGCCAGACUAAAGGAAACCCAUUUCUUCAACAAGUAUUAUCAGUUGUCUUCUCCUUGCUGUGUGCUGUGCCAAGCACUAAAUAUGAGUGAGAAAGUGGCCUUGUCCUCCUGAAGCCCGCUGUCCACAAGAGAAGGCAGCAGUUGAACCCGGCAUAUGAUGUCAUCACGGCCAAUGCAGUACUAACGGGCCGGUGUCAGGAGGACACUUACCUCUCCUGUACAAGUAUACAGAACCUUCUCUGAGGGAUGACAAGUUGAGAACUGGAGGAUGAGAACAUCAUGGAGCUUAAAAACAAAACGAAUUACAACCUCAAACAAGAACUGGAAUCGCCACUAAUGAAGAAAGUGAUAAGACACAGCACAAAGGCACUUGGUACAAAGAUGAGGCCUUCUCCACCUGCAUGUCUAGGUCACUCUUUACUUGCUUAUAGACAAGAAACCGAAUCCCAACAAGGCAAGGAGACUUUAAGUCCACAUGGUUAGUUACAGCAUCAUUGGCAAAAACCUUCACUUCCUGACUUCCAACUCUACCAUGACUGGCAUCUUGACUCCCGUUCUGCUUAUUAGUAUAGAGAUAGAAAAUGGAACAUAGACAAGGUAUAAAAAUGGUAGCUCACUACUAAAUUUGUUCUAAUUUGUUUUCAUUCUUAGAGUUGUUUUAAUGCCUCUCAAGUAAUCAACUGUCAUUACUUUAGUAAUACAAAUGCAUAAUAUAAAAUUUAGUAAUUUAAGACUAUAAGAUCACAAGAGAAGAAAUGAACAUUCAACUAAUUUAUUAUUAAUAUUAUCAUUUAGUAGGCAGUAUGUGAUAAAUCUUACUGCUGGGCCUAUGUCAUCAACAUCUGCUACUUCAUGCCAUUUGUCUAGAGGCAGCUGAUGUCAGGGAAGAGAAAACCGGUCCCUGCCAUGCUGGCCUGGGAAACGCAUCUCAUUGAGCAGUGGUAUAUAUAUCACAGGCUAAGGAUGCUCGGAAGAGAGAUACAUGAGGCUGUGGUUUCCCCAGCAGAUACAGCUGUCGUCAGGCUCUUUAGAGAUAACUGCUGAUGACAGGGCCUAGGAAGAAGAUGAAGACUUCACCAAGCUGUGGAAGUUGAAUUGACGAAAACCAUGCAGGACAUGCACGUGGUACAGGGAAAGGCCAUGUGUAUCCAAGUUGAGAGUUAACCUUUCAUUUGCUCCCUGGUUACUUUAUGUAGUAUUCUCUCCCCUAUUGUGGCUGCCCUUUGAGCAUGUAUUUUUGUGAAUAUUCAGUUGGUCACAGCUCAUGAGAGUGGCCAUUAUGUCAGUAUAUACUGUAGACUCUCCUCGAUGUCUCUGUGUCUUUUGGCUUUUCUGACCACACCUUGGGGCUCAACUCAUGCUCAAGCCAUUCUGUUGUGUUGCAGGUAGGUGUGGUGGCCAUGAGACUACAUAAUGUGACUCUCUUAAUUGAGUCUGAUAUGACUACUGUAUGAUCAGCAGAAUCCCCCCGAAAUGAGGCAACAACAACCGCAGACUGCAUUGGAAGUCUGCAUGAGCCAAGAGCCAUGUCUAAACUUCAUCAACCAUGACUUCACCAUUGCAACCCCACCAGCAGGACCAGCAUCACCUUCCCAGACUGGAGCACUAUUACCUCUCACCAUUCCCGAGCCGCAGGAAGAAAGGGUGCGGUCUUGUUUCUGCCCCCUCCAAGCCCUCCAGCACUCUCCAGCAGCCAUUGUACUGUCCACAUAGCCACCGUGGUAAAGGGUCAACCUUGCUUGUCUUCAUCCCAGACUUGGUUCUGUGCUUUGGCUCACUGUGUGAGCAUGGACAGAUUCGAUAACUUCUGAGACUCUCCCUUUAUUCAGGUGUGAAGCUGGAAUAAUGCCAACCUCAUAGCAGUCUAAGAAUGAGGAAGAAACUCACUUAUUAUAUUUGAAAUGGCUCUGAAGAUGUGUCCACACCAAAUGAGUAUAGGUAGAUGUUCAAUAACCUACAUAUGCUACAUAUAUUGUGUAAAAUUAUUUUUAUCACUGAGUUGUAUUUGCAUUCCUAUGUUCAUCUAUCUAUUGAUACAUUUAUUCAAUAAAAUCUUAUUAUACAAUCA